UGAACGCUGGCGGUAUGCUUAACACAUGCAAGUCGAACGGAAACGAUACUAGCUUGCUAGUAGGCGUCGAGUGGCGGACGGGUGAGUAACGCGUAGGAAUCUGCCUGAUAGUGGGGGAUAGCCCGAAGAAAUUCGGAUUAAUACCGCAUAAUCUAUUCGUAGUAAAGUGGGGGACUUUCGAGCCUCACGCUAUCAGAUGAGCCUGCGUAAGAUUAGCUUGUUGGUAGGGUAAAAGCCUACCAAGGCGACGAUCUUUAGCUGGUCUGAGAGGAUGAUCAGCCACAUCGGGACUGAGACACGGCCCGAACUCCUACGGGAGGCAGCAGUGGGGAAUAUUGGACAAUGGGGGCAACCCUGAUCCAGCAAUACCGCGUGUGUGAAGAAGGCCUGAGGGUUGUAAAGCACUUUCAAUUGUGAAGAAAAGUUAGCGGUUAGUAACCGUUAGCCUUGACGUUAACUUUAGAAGAAGCACCGGCUAACUCCGUGCCAGCAGCCGCGGUAAUACGGAGGGUGCAAGCGUUAAUCGGAAUUACUGGGCGUAAAGCGUGCGUAGGUGGUUUAUUAAGUCAGAUGUGAAAGCCCCGGGCUUAACCUGGGAACUGCAUUUGAAACUGGUCAACUAGAGUAUGGUAGAGGAAAGUGGAAUUUCUGGUGUAGCGGUGAAAUGCGUAGAUAUCAGAAGGAACAUCAAUGGCGAAAGGCAGCUUUCUGGACCAAUACUGACACUGAGGUACGAAAGCGUGGGUAGCAAACAGGAUUAGAUACCCUGGUAGUCCACGCCGUAAACGAUGAUAACUAGCCGUUGGGGGGAUUUACCCUUUAGUGGCGAAGCUAACGCGUUAAGUUAUCCGCCUGGGGAGUACGGCCGCAAGGUUAAAACUCAAAGGAAUUGACGGGGACCCGCACAAGCGGUGGAGCAUGUGGUUUAAUUCGAUGCAACGCGAAGAACCUUACCUGGUCUUGACAUCCUGCGAACUUUCUAGAAAUAGAUUGGUGCCUUCGGGAACGCAGUGACAGGUGCUGCAUGGCUGUCGUCAGCUCGUGUCGUGAGAUGUUGGGUUAAGUCCCGUAACGAGCGCAACCCCUAUCCUUAUUUGCCAGCACAUCAUGGUGGGAACUAUAAGGAGACUGCCGGUGAUAAACCGGAGGAAGGCGGGGACGACGUCAAGUCAUCAUGGCCCUUACGACCAGGGCUACACACGUGCUACAAUGGGAAGGACAAAGAGCCGCGAAGCCGCGAGGUGUAGCUAAUCUCAUAAACCUUUUCGUAGUCCGGAUUGGAGUCUGCAACUCGACUCCAUGAAGUCGGAAUCGCUAGUAAUCGUAGAUCAGAAUGCUACGGUGAAUACGUUCCCGGGUCUUGUACUCACCGCCCGU
rnacentral:rRNA from 1 species